rfam:Ictidomys tridecemlineatus contig028820, whole genome shotgun sequence.
AUUCUUUUGUGGUUCAUAGGCAUGAUGGUAAGGUGUUUGCACCAUUGUGUGAGAUGUAUCUCCCUCUACACCCCACCAUAACCUCUGCACAUUGCUAGUCCCAUGUGAAG